rnacentral:rRNA from 1 species
UACAGAGGGGGCAAGCGUUAUUCGGAAUUAUUGGGCGUAAAGGGCGCGUAGGCUGCUUGGCAAGUGGAAGGUGAAAUCCCUCGGCUUAACCGAGGAACUGCCCUCCAAACUGCUUCGCUUGAGACCGGGAGAGGUGAGUGGAAUUCCCAGUGUAGCGGUGAAAUGCGUAGAUAUUGGGAGGAACACCAGUGGCGAAGGCGGCUCACUGGACCGGUACUGACGCUGAUGCGCGAAAGCGUGGGGAGCAAACGGG